CGGACUCCUACGGGAGUGCUGCAGUAACGAAUAUUCCGCAAUGCGCGAAAGCGUGACGGAGCAAUGCCGCGUGCAGGAUGAAGCCCCUCGGGGUGUAAACUGCUGUCAGUGGGUUACCAAGCUCUGAUGAGCCCCAAAGGAAUGGCCGGCUAACUUCGUGCCAGCAGCCGCGGUAAUACGAAUGGCCCGAGCGUUAAUCGGAAUCAUUGGGCUUAAAGCGUACGUAGUGCGGGCGCGCAGGCAUCUUGUGAAAUCCCUCCGCUCAACGGAGGAACUGCAGGGUGAACCGCGUGCCUUGAGACAGGUAGGGGCUGUCGGAACGCUAGCUGGACUGGUGAAAUGCGUGGAUAUCUAGCGGAACGCCAAAGGAGAAAUCAGGCAGCUGGGCCUGUUCUGACGCUGAGGUACGAAAGCGUGGGGAGCGAACGGGACUAGAUACCCCGGUAGUCCACGCUGUAAACGAUGUGCACUAGAUCGAGGGGGUUCUGACACUGCUCUCGGUCGAAGCGAAAGUGUUAAGUGCACCGCCUGGGGAGUACGGUCGCAAGGCUAAAACUCAAAGGAAUUGACGGGGGCUCACACAAGCGGUGGAGCAUGUGGCUUAAUUCGAAGCAACGCGAAGAACCUUAUCCUGGGUUUGACAUGUACGGAUUAACUCCUGGAAACAGGAGCCACGCCCUUCGGGUGGAACGUACACAGGUGCUGCAUGGCUGUCGUCAGCUCGUGCUGUGAAGUGUCGGGUUAAGUCCCUUAACGAGCGCAACCCCUAUCGCUAGUUGCCAGCGCGUCAUGGCGGGGACUCUAGCGAGACUGCCGGUGUCAAACCGGAGGAAGGUGGGGACGACGUCAAGUCCGCAUGGCCUUUAUGCCCAGGGCUGCACACGUGCUACAAUGGCCGGUACAGAACGAUGCAAGACCGCGAGGUGGAGCAAAUCGCUAAAACCGGCCCCAGUUCAGAUUGGAGGCUGCAACUCGCCUCCAUGAAGUCGGAAUCGCUAGUAAUGCGGGGAUCAGCUACGCCCCGGUGAUACGUUCCUGAGCAUUGUACACACCGCCCGUCAAGUCAUGGAAGCUGGCAGCACCCGAAGUCGCCGCGAUUCAG
rnacentral:rRNA from 1 species